GAUGAACGCUGGCGGCGUGCCUAAUACAUGCAAGUCGAGCGAAUGGAUUAAGAGCUUGCUCUUAUGAAGUUAGCGGCGGACGGGUGAGUAACACGUGGGUAACCUGCCCAUAAGACUGGGAUAACUCCGGGAAACCGGGGCUAAUACCGGAUAACAUUUUGAACCGCAUGGUUCGAAAUUGAAAGGCGGCUUCGGCUGUCACUUAUGGAUGGACCCGCGUCGCAUUAGCUAGUUGGUGAGGUAACGGCUCACCAAGGCAACGAUGCGUAGCCGACCGGAGAGGGUGAUCGGCCACACUGGGACUGAGACACGGCCCAGACUCCUACGGGAGGCAGCAGUAGGGAAUCUUCCGCGAUGGACGAAAGUCUUACGGAGCAACGCCGCGUGAGUGAUGAAGGCUUUCGGGUCGUAAAACUCUGUUGUUAGGGAAGAACAAGUGCUAGUUGAAUAAGCUGGCACCUUGACGGUACCUAACCAGAAAGCCACGGCUAACUACGUGCCAGCAGCCGCCGUAA
rnacentral:rRNA from 1 species